rnacentral:rRNA from 1 species
AUGAUUAGUGGCGAACGGGUGAGUAACACGUGAGUAACCUGCCCCUGACUCUGGGAUAAGCCUGGGAAACUGGGUCUAAUACCGGAUAUGCACCGUGGACCGCAUGGUUCUUGGUGGAAAGAAUUUUGGUCAGGGAUGGACUCGCGGCCUAUCAGCUUGUUGGUGAGGUAAUGGCUCACCAAGGCGACGACGGGUAGCCGGCCUGAGAGGGUGACCGGCCACACUGGGACUGAGACACGGCCCAGACUCCUACGGGAGGCAGCAGUGGGGAAUAUUGCACAAUGGGCGAAAGCCUGAUGCAGCGACGCCGCGUGAGGGAUGACGGCCUUCGGGUUGUAAACCUCUUUCAGUAGGGAAGAAGCGAAAGUGACGGUACCUGCAGAAGAAGCGCCGGCUAACUACGUGCCAGCAGCCGCGGUAAUACGUAGGGCGCAAGCGUUAUCCGGAAUUAUUGGGCGUAAAGAGCUCGUAGGCGGUUUGUCGCGUCUAUCGUGAAAGUCCGAGGCUCAACCUCGGAUCUGCGGUGGGUACGGGCAGACUAGAGUGAUGUAGGGGAGACUGGAAUUCCUGGUGUAGCGGUGAAAUGCGCAGAUAUCAGGAGGAACACCGAUGGCGAAGGCAGGUCUCUGGGCAUUAACUGACGCUGAGGAGCGAAAGCAUGGGGAGCGAACAGGAUUAGAUACCCUGGUAGUCCAUGCCGUAAACGUUGGGCACUAGGUGUGGGGGACAUUCCACGUUUUCCGCGCCGUANCUAACGCAUUAAGUGCCCCGCCUGGGGAGUACCGGCCNCAAGGCUAAAACUCAAAGGAAUUGACGGGGGGCCCCGCACAAGCGGCGGAGCAUGCNGAUUAAAUUCNAUGCAACGCGAAAAANCCUUACCAAGGCUUGACAUGUGCCAAAACCCCCCNUGGNAAACCCNGN